UACGUAGGUGGCAAGCGUUAUCCGGAUUUAUUGGGCGUAAAGCGAGCGCAGGCGGUUGCUUAGGUCUGAUGUGAAAGCCCACGGCUUAACCGUGGAGGGUCAUUGGAAACUGGUUGACUUGAGUGCAGAAGAGGGAAGUGGAAUUCCAUGUGUAGCGGUGAAAUGCGUAGAGAUAUGGAGGAACACCAGUGGCGAAGGCGGCUUCCUGGUCUGCAACUGACACUGAGGCGCGAAAGCGUGGGUAUCGAACAGG
rnacentral:rRNA from 1 species